GACGAACGCUGGCGGCGUGCUUAACACAUGCAAGUCGAACGAAGAGCGAUGGAAGCUUGCUUCUAUCAAUCUUAGUGGCGACCGGGUGAGUAACGCGUAAUCAACCUGCCCUUCAGAGGGGGACAACAGUUGGAAACGACUGCUAAUACCGCAUACGAUCUGACCUCGGCAUCGAGGAUAGAUGAAAGGUGGCCUCUAUUUAUAAGCUAUCACUGAAGGAGGGGAUUGCGUCUGAUUAGCUAGUUGGAGGGGUAACGGCCCACCAAGGCGAUGAUCAGUAGCCGGUCUGAGAGGAUGAACGGCCACAUUGGGACUGAGACACGGCCCAGACUCCUACGGGAGGCAGCAGUGGGGAAUCUUCCGCAAUGGACGAAAGUCUGACGGAGCAACGCCGCGUGAGUGAUGACGGCCUUCGGGUUGUAAAGCUCUGUUAAUCGGGACGAAAGGCCUUCUUGCGAAUAGUUAGAAGGAUUGACGGUACCGGAAUAGAAAGCCACGGCUAACUACGUG
rnacentral:rRNA from 1 species